GACUUCGCCAGAUUUAGACCUAAAUCUAUGAACCAUGCAAUACCACCCAAAUGAAUGAAUCUGUAUCUGGACGCUCUACACAAACGCGCAGCCUCUCGUCAUCAUCUCAUCACUCUAUAUCAAAUUGAAUCCUUUUCAAAGUUCGAGAAUGAUGCAUGCACCUGUGUAAUUGCCACUUUUUGAUUUUCCAAUUCAUACUGUUAGAGUAUAUAUGUAACAGCACCCGCUCAUAAAUUGGUUGGUUCGCAAUCACAAUUAAUUUGUCUGAACUUGGCUGCUAUAAGUUCACCAAGACUGAGUCAAAAAGGUAAUAAGCACUAAUCCUAUAUUGAAGGCUCUCUAGUCUUAAUCAUCUUCAUGUUUGUCACAGUUAACUUUUCAAAACUAUGGCAGAGGCGUUGUGCCAUGAAGACAACCAGCACUUCGAGCAUUGGAUAUGAUAACGGAGCUUACAGCAACCAGGCACACACAUAUACUUGUAAGUAUAAUCAACAAACUUGAAGAGUUAUUCUAAUUUUCUUUGUUCUGUUCUGUUUCUUCUAGAAUGUUUCUAUGAUAAACCCUGUCAGAUAUUUCAAAGAAUGAAGACAGGACUAGGAGGAUUAAAAAGCUGGUUUAUCUUUGUAUUCUGAUUGUACUGUUAGUUUAUAUUUAUUGUUUUUUUUUUAUCAGUAAAGAAUAAUGAAAGUAAAUGAGUCAUUUCAAAAAGUGUUUUUACAAAUAUCAAAACAAAAGUCUAACAUCUAGUAUAAACUUAAAGAUGUAACAUAACAUAUAACAACCUUAGGCUUCCUCAUAUAAUUAGAUUAGAGAAAACUCAACAAACCAGAACCAAAAUACAAACUUCUCCAACACCAAAAACCAGCAAAUCAGAUGGCACAAAGCUGCUUAUUGUUAUUGUUGUCGAUCCUGCACUGCAGCCACUGUAUGUAUAUGAAGUAGAAAACCUGGUUAUUGAUUCCUUCAUUCAAAAUUUCCUGCACAUAUGCCUGAGUAGUCAGUUAUAAUGGCAUGCUGUUUAAUGAGUUUCAAAGCAUAGGAAUGUUUUAACAUGAACUACAAUUGGAAGAAAUACUUUUGUAGAUUCCAAAAAAUCCACAUCGGGUCUAACUACUUUUAUAGGGGAGUUGUAUCUUGACAAUCCAAGUUACAAAGAUGUGUUAUUUGAAGCUGGAAAAGAGGUAUAAUAUAUGAAAUUUUUCUUGCAUGAAUUGGGUCAUGUUCAAGAAUGUUCUCCAUUGUGACAACCAAAGUGCAAUCCACCAAACUAAGAAUCCUACAUUUCAUUCUCGAACAAAGCACAUUGAUUAUCGUUAUCAUUGGAUAUGAAAUGAUUUGGAGGAUGGAGAGUUGUACCUAGAGAAGGUUCAUACAAAUGCAACUAGUCUGACAUGUUGAUCAAGGAAAUUUCUGCUAAGAAGCUAACAGAUUGUUGUAGGGGAGCUGGAUUAUUGAUACCCCUUAAUUAAGUUGGGAAGAAGAAAAUUUGUUGGGACUUAUAAAAAAAAUAUUAACCCUUUUUUGAAUGCAAUGAGCCUAAUCAAAGCAUUAGAUUUGAGGUCAAAAUAAGAAAGUUUAAGUGCAAUGAGAGAACACCUAAUGAAAAUUUGUGUUGAGUUUAGGUGUCAUGAAUUCUCUCCCACUGCGCUAUUGUUGAAAAAUUAUGCUCUAGGUGCAAAAUUCUUAUUUUGAUUAAGUUAUGAUUAUUAGGUGUUAUGAUUGUUGAACUAGGAAAAAUUCAUUAAGUUCCAGAUUUUUUAUCAGCAAGAAAAGAAUAUAUAAAUAGAGGUAUUUCAGGAAUACCUUAACCCUUAUACAAGAGACAAAAAAUACCCAGAUUUAAGCAAACCUUCUCUUCCCUACCUUACCUCCAAUCUCUUACAUACAUCCAAUAGUUGACCCACGCUUCUCUAACCAAUAUUAUUUUUAAUAGAUUUCAUACACAUCAAUGGUUCCAGACACCAAUCAGAAUAGGAAAAACAUGAUAAUCGUACCUUCAAGGUUAUUAAUGACCAAGCUUUCAGCUGCGCCAUCGUAAAAUUUCGGUAUGAUCUAUGCGUUCGUUUUUUAAAAUCUUGUUAUUUCUUUGUUUCCACAAUUCCCCUAUAACUAUCCACACACACAUGCAUAUCUGAUUAACAACUUCACUUUGCUCAAUCAUCCUAAACUGAGAAAAAUGCAUUUCGGCUCCUGGUGUACCAUCAAUGUCAUGCACACCCACUCAUAACAUUUUGACCAAACAAGCCAAGCUACUCGACAUGUACAAAAGAGGUGAGACAUUGUUUCCUCUCACCACACAUAUUACAAACACCGUUUUCCACAAUUAUCCCCUUUUUCACCAGGUUAACUUUCGAUACUAUCUUAUCCUCCAACACUCUCCAAGCAAUAAAAUGAGUUGAUGGUUGUGCCUUAUUCCUCCCCGCCUCAUACAUAGUAACACCUUCAACCUGCCCUUCACCUUUCAACACUCUGUAAGCUGAUUGAAACUGUAAACUUUGUGGAUUCCCUAUCUCUCCAAACCACGAGUCCGCUUUUUCUUCAUUUAAGCUUUUCCUUCCCAACAACAUUAUCAGUUGUUGCUCCUGUUCCUUUUACCAUUCAAACAAACACCUUCUCCAUCCUAUCUUCCACAUCCAUUCAAGAUUAUUAUUUCAUUCUCCACCUUGCCUCAGCUUGGUUUCCCUGCAAGAACAAAUUAGGAUUUAGUUGCAGAUCUCUUCUAUUAUUUUAAGUUUUGUUUGAUUAGGUGUUAUGUUUGGAUUCUAUAUUCCUUCUUAAAUCAAAUUUCCUCUUUGGUCAUGUUGAUUGUGUAGGAUCAGUUUUUGGGCAUUAGGACCAACUUCUACAAAAGACCUAUGCUGAUGGGUUAUGCCAUUCUUUAUCUUAUGGCUUAUCUUUAAAUCUUUUAUGUUUUAAUUUCUAAAAUAAUUUGAAAUGUUAGUUUUAAUUCUUAUAAAAUUUAUUAUGUAUAUUCAUUUCAAAAUGCGUUUUUGAAAAGAAAAAAUAUAUUCUGUGAUGAGAUAUGUUAGAGGAAAAAAAAAGUAAAAAUAAUUCUUUUUAUGUAACAAAAGUAAGUAGAACCGUCAACCUUUCUUCUUAAAUUGUUUUAGAGUCUUGAUAUAUUGACAUUGUCCACACUAUAACACACAUUUGACACUGCAGACGUGGCAAUGAUGUGACAUAGUAAAUAAGGUAGUAGCGCUAAUGAGCAGUGAGACGCGAGCUUUAAAAUAUGGUAAAAAUGAAUAUAUUAUACUGGUUCUUAGUAACAACCAGUGUAAUAUAUAUUUUUUUUACUUAGAAUGACCUAUAUUACACUAGUUAAGUCAUCUAACUGGUGUAAUAUAUGGCUCAUAUUCAAAAGCUUUUUGAAUUUUUUUUCAUGAAGAGCGGGUGACCAUAAACGUCACAAAAGUGACCACUUACAGGCACACGGGUAACCAGUUUUGCGUGUGUGCCAUUACAUGUGGAGGAACCUGUAGCUAGGUAACCAGUUGUGAUAGGGUGUGUGUCAAGUUCUGCCAUGGGUGUAAUAUAUGGCCCAUAUUCAAAAACUUUUUGAAUUUUUUCAUGAAUUGUGGGUGGCCAUAAACAUCAUAGAAGUGACCACUUACGAGCACACAGGUAACCAUUUUUUCGUGUGCCAGUACGUACAUGUGGAGAAACCUGUGGUUGGGUAACCAGUUCUGGUAGGGUGGGUGUCCAGUUCUGCCAUGGGUAACCAUGUGGUUAGCCGAAAGGGUUGUAAUGACGAAAUUGAAAGUGAUUACGGAGUAAGAGUGAGUUUUUAAUGUUGUGGGGGUGAUGCAAAAGUAAUUCCUAGCUCAUUUGAGAUAGUUGAUGUUGUGAAGAGUUGGUGGCCAUAAACAUAACACAGGUGGCCACUUACACACACAGGUAACCACUUUAGCUGUGACAGUAGGUCUGUAGGAAGCUAUGCCAUAUAUUGCAGUGGUUGGGUCAAGUAAUUGGUGUAAUAUAGGGUCAGUUCUGAUUGAUGAGUGAAGUCAAUGAUGUUGAGCACUUGAACAAAAAACAAAAAAGCAACGACAACCGCACAAGAAAGACGUUUACACUACAAGAAAAUCACUAAAUAGAAACCGAUUUUAGAGACAAAAAAUAAUUAGUUGCUAUAGUGACUAAAUUAGAGACCGUUUUAGAAACUAAAAAUAUUAUUGGUUUCUAAAUUAGUUUCUAUUAUUGAUGAAUAAUUUCUAAAUUGGUAUCUAAUUACCUACCAAGGUUUUUGCUACCAAAUUUAGAAUCUAAAUAAUUGGUAGUUAAAACCUUGGUACCUAAUUAGAUACCAAAUUAGAAACUAUUUAUCAAUAUUAGAAACUGAUUUAGAAACCAAAAAAAAAAUAGUUUCUAAAACGGUCUCUAAUUUAGUCACUAUAGUAACUAAUUAUUUUUUGUCUCUAAAAUUGAUUUCUAUUUAAUAAUUUUCUUGUAGUGUUAUGGUCUGUGUUUCUCGCUGCUUCUUUGUCUCUCCCUUCGACGAGUUCGUUGCUUCUUUCUUCCUUUCGUUCCAAACUCUCUCGCUUUUGCACUCGCACUCAAACACUAAACUCAUACACUUAUACAAAAUUACUCUCAAUGACACAUCACUUCCAUCAAAAUUACAAAAAAUCCUACUACCACAUUCUUACGUCUAUGAUGUCAAAUUUGUAGAAGGAGUUAAUAAAACAUUUUCGAUUGUUUUAUUUCCUUUCACUAGAUAAAAUAAUAAACAACAAUUAUAAUACACUCAUUUUUUUUCCUUAUCCCUAUUUUCAAUCAUAUUUUUCUCUUUUGUUAUAUUUGUUACUUUUUUUCUCUUUUUCCUCGUAUUUCUCUGUUUACGCGCCCAGAAAUAGGAUGUACCUUAAUCAUUACUCAGUACAAUAAAUAGUUUUUUUAAUAGCAGUACAAUAAGUAGUAAUAAAAAUAUUAGCAUUUAAGUCGAGGAUUUAAAAUGUAUUCUUAGGGGAACUAAUUAUAAAUGUAUGUACCCAAAAAGUAAUUAUAAAUAUGAUAAUAUAUAAUAAAUAUUAAACUCUCUUUAAGUAAUUUCGUUUUCUGAGACGGAAACAAUAAUAACUGUUACCUUUUGUCUUGACUGUGGGAUUUGGACUUGAAACUUACUCUCUUCUAUCUUCUUCCGCCUCCUUUAAACCCUAUUCCUCACUACAAACCAGGAUACCCUUAAUAUUUUUCCCUCAAAACUAAGUCAAAUUAAUGAUGCGAAUUUAUUUCGUUUAACGUUUUCAGGAAAAUAUUUCUGGAACAACAGAAACAGUGUUGGACUAAGAGGUAUGUUUGUUUUUUGUUCGUUCAUUUUUUUGUUGAUUCUGUCAGGUAUUUCAGGAAAUGGAAUAAUUUCAUCAUCGUAAAGAGGACAUAGCAUUCUUUUUUGUUGCAUAUCUGGAGGAAUUGGAAUGACCUACUGAUUCAAAUUUUGAGAAUCGGUAAUAUUGGGGUUUCAUUGAUUAUUCUUUGCGUUAUUUUGAAUGUAUAGUUUCUUACAGGCAUAAUGCUUAGUAUACUCAGCAGUAAAAUAGCAACUUCUGAAUCAAUAAAUAUACUUAAGAUUUGCCUUAAAAUUUUCUUCCAAUAUUACACAACUGUUUGAGAAAUCUGGUGCUUAUAACGUUAUAAACGUCAGUUUUAUUCUGUGGUCUAGUAUUCUUAUUUCUGAGUAAAAUGUUACUAUGCCCUUGUUUAAUUCAUGAAGCUAUACUGUUAUAUAUUACUUCUUGAGAUCUAGAUCAUAAGAGAGAAAAUGAUUAGAUGUGAGUGCUCAACAUAACUGCAGGAUUUAGCUGAAACAUGUAUAGGUAUGGGUGCUAUUUGCUGAUAAAAAAAAAUGUAUAGGUAUGGGUUGGUUUGUUCCUACCAUUUCUUUAUAAGAUUUGGAGUAUUCCUCAGAUAUUUUAUUUUAAUUAAAUUUAUUUUUUACUGAUAAAAGCUAGAAAUAAUUUAAGUUGAACAUCUUCCAAAUCAGUAACAAGUUAUACGCCCAAGUCUGCUGACAAGUAGAAUGCAUAAAUAUGAAGCUUGAGAUCUAUUUGUCUUUCUGGAUACAAGUAUUGAAUUACAAAGUGCUGCUAAAGAAAUGUAUAUACAGAAUUGGUUCUUAUUGCAGUGAUGGCCUAUUUCAGAAAUAUUUUCUUAUUUUCCUUUAUUUUCUAUUUAAAGAUUUAUUACAAAUUUAUGAAAAUAAGAUUUUCUCCAUUAUGUAUACUUCAGCUGAAAAUAAUGAAGUUUCGCUUUUUGUUAUUUUAUGUUUUUUGUGGUGUUAUGAACGGAAUACACUGUUGGGGGGUCAUAUGUGUUUGUUGAAAAUGAUAAAUCACUGUGUUCAUAUAUUCAGACACAAUAUUUUGAGUUUCUUAAUUCGAUAGACUUUUAGGUUUCCUGCGUUACACUUGAAGUAUUCAAUGAGUUUAAGAACAUUUGUUUGUAGUAUUAUACUUUCUGGUUACAGUGAUUGCAAAAUCCUCAUUGAAUUGAUUGACCACAAUUUACAAAGUUUAAGGGACAAGGAUAUUAGAUAUAACACAAAAGGCCCCUAAAAUCAUUA
rnacentral:lncRNA from 1 species